AUGGUUGAGAAUAAUGACAGUCUAGUAGUGACUAUAAUUCCAAAGCUGCUGUCAGAUGGUAAAUUGUUUAUAGACGAAUUAACAAUAUCUGUCUGGUUCCACAAUGAGAAAGAAAAAAUUCCUGCUAUAGUAGUUGUUGACGAUAAUAUUGAACUUGCGAUCCUUCUGGUCAAAGGGGAGAGCCCACGUAAAUCCAUUUCUUUGGGUGAAUUUGCCAAGGAACAGAAGUACCAAUAUGAUGUUGUCUAUGCCAUUGCUACAAUGGCCGCGACGAAAUUACAUCCAGACUCAACCGUACUGCUAAAUGAGCCGUUUGGGAGUCUUGGAAUUUAUGAGGGUCAUAUCACUACACCUAAUUGCACUGCGUCUACUCUUCAAAAUAGUGUUGUUUCUGAGAGUAAACGGUAUUUCAAGUUGUCCUGCAUGUAUAUGGAUCACAUGCUUACACUUGAUAACAUUGAUGAUGAAGAAGGGCAUCAGUCUAGCCGCGUUCUAGGAGCCCCGGUUAUUGGUUACGAUUCUAAGAUGAUUGGGAUAGUAUGCUCAGUAGCUACAUCUGGUGAUCUGAAAUAUGCAAUCCAUGUGGAACAUAUGAUCAAGCCCAUUGAAGAUAUGUGCGACAAACAUUCCAAAGAGAUCCUUCAUUCAAAGAAGAUUUGGUUGGACUGGGAGGGAAAAUUGAAGAAGGUCUAUACUGCUGUACAAAAAGCGUGA
rnacentral:rRNA from 1 species